rnacentral:rRNA from 1 species
CAGUAGCCACGGUAAUACGUAUGUCACAAGCGUUAUCCGGAUUUAUCGGGCGUAAAGCGCGUCUAGGUGGUUAUGUAAGUCUGAUGUGAAGAUGCAGGGCUCAACUCUAUAUUGCGUUGGAAACUGUGUAACUAGAGUACUGGAGAGGUAAGCGGAACUACAAGUGUAGAGGUGAAAUUCGUAGAUAUUUGUAGGAAUGCCGAUGGGGAAGCCAGCUUACUGGACAGAUACUGACGCUGAAGCGCGAAAGCGUGGGUAGCAAACAGGAUUAGAUACCCGUGUAGUCCCUGUCUCUUAUACC